rnacentral:lncRNA from 1 species
CUGGGAAUCUCAAGCGCCUGCAGAGGCUCCGAAACUGGAAGGGGAAUUACGGACCUUCAUCGAGCGGCUGGAAAAGCUGCUGUGGGUCUGCCCACCCUGCAGCUCAAACUGCAGGCGAAGUACAAGCGAGGAGCACGUUGCACAGCAUGGACACCACGAACCCCUCCGGCUCCGGAGCUCCUUGCAGCAUGGGAACCUGAUGGUGGCCACAGGGGAGGAGAGGUGGUGUUUCAGAUUCAGAGAGGGCUCUAGCAGGGUACAGGGGAGAGGCAGCACGCCGCCUCAGAAGUGCCUGCUCCUGGGGGCUGUCAAUAAGCACACUUUCUUGUUUGUUUGUUACCUGGUUCAGAAUAUGGUGUCUAAUGGGCAAGAAAGCCCUCAGAGCAUCAACACUUAACAUCUGCUGGCCUGUCUUCAUGAGCAGCUCUCACCCAGAACAUCUCCUAGACCUCCCUGGCUUACCCUGCUAAUCAGACCUCCAGUCCCAUUGCCCCAGAACCGCCGCAGCUGCAGCCGGGAAGAACGGCAAGGCAACGCAGCAGGCAGCUCGCACGCAGCCCGGCUUGCACCAGGUGCUUGUGCCAGGGCACUUUAUGUAUCAGUGUACCAAGGAGCCUGAGAGAAACAUCUGAGCAGGGCUCCCAGCCUCCAGGGCCUUGCAAAUCUCUGCAGUGGCCUUGGGACAUGGCUUUGCAGAGCGGGAUGUGACAUGAGCUUUAUCAUCGUUACCACGGAAACUAAGCAACCUGGAAUGAGCCAGCUCUCGUUAUCUUCAGACCUCUGCCGUUACGGGCACAAGAUCCCUGCACAGUCCCAAGGAGAAAAAGCUGCUCUCAGCAGCUCUGAGACCUCUCCCAAGAAUCCAUCAUCGUGGUCCUCCUUUCAGUACGGAUCCCGUACACUUUGUGCACACCGAUGUACCCCGAAGCAAAAUCUUCCUAUCAGAGGAGCACGACCUAGUUUUGGCCCUAAAUUUGACAAUCAGGCUCUUUGUCAGCGAGAAGAAAGAGACACCUCCAAGGGGGAGUGCCAGCGGAUCUAUGGCAGAAACCUAACUCAGGAGGAUUCAUAACUCAGGAUGGAGAUGCCAGCUUCUGCCCAUUUGUGCAUGGAAUAGCAAAGGAAAAGCUUCAUCACCGUGCUACCAAUACAGCACGGAACUAUUCAAAUAAAAAGAGAGAAAAGCUUUCUCUUUUUGACCUG